rnacentral:rRNA from 1 species
GACGAACGCUGGCGGCGUGCCUAAUACAUGCAAGUAGGACGCAGUUGCGAACGGGUGAGUAACGCGUAGGUAACUGCCUAUUAGAGGGGGAUAACUAUUGGAAACGAUAGCUAAUACCGCAUACUAGUAGAUGGACCUGCGUUGUAUUAGCUAGUAGGUAGGGUAAUGGCAUACCUAGGCGACGAUACAUAGCAGACCUGAGAGGGGGUACGGCCACACUGGGACUGAGGCACUGCCCAGAAUCCUACGGGAGGCAGCAGGAGGGAAGCUUCGGCAAUGGGGGGAACCCUGACCGAGCAACGCCGCGUGUGUGAAGAAGGUUUUCGGAUCGUAAAGCUCUGUUGUUAAGGAAGCGGUACUUAACCAGAAAGGGACGGCUAACUACGUGCCAGCAGCCGCGGUAAUAC